AUACUACUCUCUUCGUUCCAAAUUACUCGUCGUAAAAAUGGAUGUAUCUAGAACUAAAAUACAUCUAAAUACAUCUAUUUCUGUGACGAGUAAUUCGGAACGGAGGGAGUACCUC
rnacentral:pre_miRNA from 1 species